CCUCCUACCUCGAUGAAGAAACCGAAGCCUUCUACUUUAUUCAAUAAAUUUCUCUUCAUUUCCGCCCAAAAAAAAUCAAAAGAAAAAGAAAACAAGUUGAGAUCUUUGACUGCCAACUCAAUCAAAUAUGUGUGGAGGAGCAAUAAUCUCCGAUUUCAUACCCUCAUCGAGAUCAAUAAAGCUGACUGCUGAUUACUUAUGGCCUAGUCUUGAGAAGAGCAAGAAGAGUAGCAGCAGAUUUGAUACCGAGGAUGAUUUUGAAGCUGACUUCAAUGAGUUCAAAGAUGAGGAGUCUGAGGAGGAACAAUCUGAGGUGAUUGAUGUCAAGCCCUUUCAGUUUCGGGCUAAAUCUAGCUUAUCUCGAGAUGGAUCAACUGCUAAGAAAUCUAUAAAUCUCGAUGAACCAGCGAACCACUCUUCGAAGAGAAAGCGCAAGAACCAAUACCGAGGAAUUCGCCAGCGUCCGUGGGGAAAAUGGGCAGCUGAGAUCAGAGACCCUCGCAAAGGAGUCAGAGUCUGGCUGGGGACGUUCAACACAGCCGAAGAAGCUGCAAGAGCCUACGAUGCUGAAGCUCGUAGGAUCCGUGGCAAGAAAGCCAAGGUCAACUUUCCUGAGGAAGCAUCAAAGAAACCCAUUAAACCAAGAUCCUUAGAAAACUCCAAUCCUAGCCCUAACAUGGACUUUGGGUAUCUGAAUACCCCUGAGCUUGAUGUAUACUCAGGUUUCGAUUUCUUCGAAGAGAAGGUUCCAGUUGUUUUGCCUUCAGAAGCUAAUGAAUUAGCUGUCGGGGAUAAUAAUGCUACUGCAAUGGAGCUCUCUGAAGAGCUUAAUGCCUUUGAAUCAUACAUGAAGUUCCUGCAGGUUCCUUAUCUUGAGGGGAGUUCAGACGAGUCAGUCGACAAUCUCCUCAACAAUGAAGUUGACAAUCUCCUCAACGAUGAAGUGUCUCAGGAUGAGAUGGGUCUGUGGAGCUUUGAGGAUUUGCCAAUGGAGGGCAGCGUGUACUGAGACAUCGAAGUCUUGGGUUUUAUGUAUAUAUAGUCUCAAUGAGAACGAGGAGAACCAGAGAGGCCUCGGCCUGAACGUGAUGUAAUGGGAACUCUAUAUAUAUAUAGUACUUCGGUGCUGUGAAGAACAAGAUUAUAAGCUUGGGUUCAUGGUAGUCUCAUUGUUGUUGGAUAAAAUGUUGGAGUAAAUGGGGAUGUGGUGUAGUUUCUUGGAUCAGUAUAGCUAUGACGAAGGACGAUAAACAUAUAUAUAACUACGAAGAAGGAUGAUGGAUGUAACUAUGAAGAUAUAGCUAUGUAUGAGGACAAUGAAUAUGUUUAUGAAGAAUUGUGAUGAACGAUGAACAAGAACGAUGAAUAUAACCAUGAAGAAUGAUGAUGGACGAUGGAUGUAGCUAUGAACACGGACAACAUGAACGUGGUUCAGUCAAAUAUAGCCUGGUUUGUCGAAUAACAUGAAGUUGAUAAAUACCAAGUUUGAGAGGAUUAUAUGCA